GCGGCGGUAGCUCAAUUGGAUAGAGCAUCAGACUUCGGAUCUGAGGGUUGAGGGUUCAAGUCCUUCCCGCCGCGCCA
rnacentral:tRNA from 1 species